UACGUAGGGUGCGAGCGUUAAUCGGAAUUACUGGGCGUAAAGCGUGCGCAGGCGGUUCGCUAAGACCGAUGUGAAAUCCCCGGGCUUAACCUGGGAACUGCAUUGGUGACUGGCGAGCUAGAGUGUGGCAGAGGGGGGUAGAAUUCCACGUGUAGCAGUGAAAUGCGUAGAGAUGUGGAGGAAUACCGAUGGCGAAGGCAGCCCCCUGGGGCCUAACACUGACGCUCAUGCACGAA
rnacentral:rRNA from 1 species